rnacentral:rRNA from 1 species
AACUAGAAUUCAGUUCUCCCUGAACGAGCCCGAUCCAGUCUGAGCUCGGAAGCUAAGCAGGGUCGGGCCUGGUUAGUACUUGGAUGGGAGACCACCUAGGAAGACUAGGUGCUGUAGGUG